CUGCCUGUCCCCGUGGCUGCUGAACGGCGAAAGCUUCCUAUUUGCAACCAGAACUGUCUGAGCUACUGGGCAUGCCCAGUCCCACCGCUAUGGUAUAAAGACGACUUUAAGAGGUACUACUGCUAUUGGAAAAACAUGGGACUCAACUCUUCAAUGCCUUUAAAGCAACAGAAUUCAAAUGGUUAACAUUCUUAUUUUACUUUUCAUCUUCAUGAAAAUAACAAGCUUUUCAAAGCCAAACUGCUUCAUAAAUUACCACUUCUGCUUAAUAGUGGUAGAUUAUGAAAACUGGGAGUUAUGGACAAAAAAGGCAUCACAGAUUUAGAAGCCAAAUGAUAUUCUAUAUAAAACAUCUGAAGAAGUGAAAA